GAGACCUUAGUUUAAUUGGUAAAAUACUAGACUUUUGAUCUUCGUUAUGUCGGUUCGAGUCCGGCAGGUCUUA
rnacentral:tRNA from 1 species